AACUAACGCUGGCGGCAGGCUUAACACAUGCAAGUCGAGCGCCCCGCAAGGGGAGCGGCAGACGGGUGAGUAACGCGUGGGAAUCUACCCAUCUCUACGGAAUAACGCAUGGAAACGUGUGCUAAUACCGUAUACGUCCUUCGGGAGAAAGAUUUAUCGGAGAUGGAUGAGCCCACGUUGGUUUAGCUAGUUGGUGGGGUAAAGGCCUACCAAGGCGACGAUCCAUAGCUGGUCUGAGGAUGAUCAGCCACACUGGGACUGAGACACGGCCCAGACUCCUACGGGAGGCAGCAGUGGGGAAUAUUGGACAAUGGGCGCAAGCCUGAUCCAGCCAUGCCGCGUGAGUGAUGAAGGCCCUAGGGUUGUAAAGCUCUUUCACCGGUGAAGAUAAUGACGGUAACCGGAGAAGAAGCCCCGGCUAACUUCGUGCCAGCCGCCGCCGUAACAC
rnacentral:rRNA from 1 species